GGGAAUAAUAACAGAAUUGACAU
rnacentral:tmRNA from 1 species